AUUUGAAGAUGCAAUACACUGUGUUACUGGUCCUACCUGCCAUCUGCAUUAUUCACGGCACGAACUUCGAAAGGAGUGGGUACGGGGAUGGAUGGUAUUCCGGAAGUCGCCCUUCGGGAUUUGGUAUACCCUAUGAUAGACGUCCCAUGCCAACCCCUGGAGGUGGAGGU